CAGAAAUUAAUAGCCCCUGAUAGAAUACCGCUCAUGGAAUUAACGCUGCAAUAAAAGAUGUUUGUAGUUGGCUAAAAUUGAACUGCAAGGUAGAGGAAAAUCUUCACAAACCUCCUUUUACGACCAGUGACAACCAGUCAGACCAGAAGCGGAGAGGCGGUCCAUCGUGGACUGACGUACCGGUGCUAUCCUUCUCCGAUCGGCUAUUCUAACUCAUGACGAGGAGCUUUGUAGCCCGAAGAACAUCCAGAGACGCAACAAUUUCUCAUAUUUCUAAAUAGUCAAAUAACAAGUUCUCAUAUUUAUAAAUAGUUGUUAUUAAACUCAAUUGUUAUUGGUUUGGUUUUUUUUUCUUUUACGUUAUUUUAGGUUAUAUAAUAAAAUUCACUUACCUUAUCAAUAGGUUGUACGGGUAGGCCUCUGAACUACUUCUUUCUCUUCUUUCCGGACAAAAUCUGAACACUGUUGAACACUGCUGAACACUGCUGAACACUGCUGAAUACUUUUGAAAUAUAUUGAAAUAUAAAUCCGCGCACGUUCUGCGUUGCACAUGGUUGCACAUGUAACGAAAACAAAGCAUGAA